rnacentral:rRNA from 1 species
GAAGGGUGCAAGCGUUACUCGGAAUUACUGGGCGUAAAGCGUGCGUAGGUGGUUCGUUAAGUCUGAUGUGAAAGCCCUGGGCUCAACCUGGGAAUGGCAUUGGAUACUGGCGACCUAGAGUGCGGUAGAGGGGUGUGGAAUUCCCGGUGUAGCAGUGAAAUGCGUAGAUAUCGGGAGGAACAUCUGUGGCGAAGGCGACACCCUGGACCAGCACUGACACUGAGGCACGAAAGCGUGGGGAGCAAACAGGAUUAGAUACCCUGGUAGUCCACGCCCUAAACGAUGCGAACUGGAUGUUGGGUGCAACUUGGCACUCAGUAUCGAAGCUAACGCGUUAAGUUCGCCGCCUGGGAAGUACGGUCGCAAGACUG